rnacentral:rRNA from 1 species
UACGGGGGGAGCAAGCGUUGUUCGGAUUUACUGGGCGUAAAGGGCGCGUAGGCGGCGUGACAAGUCACUUGUGAAAUCUCCGGGCUUAACUCGGAACGGUCAAGUGAUACUGUCGUGCUAGAGUACAGAAGGGGCAACUGGAAUUCUCGGUGUAGCGGUGAAAUGCGUAGAUAUUGAGAGGAACACCUGCGGCGAAGGCGGGUUGCUGGGCUGAUGCUGACGCUGAGGCGCGAAAGCCAGGGGAGCGAACGGG